rnacentral:misc_RNA from 1 species
GAUGAAGAACGUAGCGAAAUGCGAUAAGUAAUGUGAAUUGCAGAAUUCCGUGAAUCAUCGAAUCUUUGAACGCAUAUUGCGCCCUCUGGCAUUCCGGAGGGCAUGCCUGUCCGAGCGUCAUUACUAUCUUCAAGCACAGCUUGGUUGUUGAGCCCAAUUGUCCUCUAAUGGACAGGCUUGAAAUGCAGCGGCGAUGCCAUGUUUGGUGCCCGAGUGUAUGGGGCUUUGUCACACACUUUUGUGGCCCAGCUGGCGUUGUCUUUUAAAGUACUUAAUACCUAAGAUUUGACCUCGGAUCAGGUAGGGAUACCCGCUGAACUUAAGCAUAUCAAUAAGCGGAGGA